GGCCCUUCGGGGUACUCGAGUGGCGAACGGGUGAGUACACGUGGGUGAUCUGCCCUGCACUUUGGGAUAAGCCUGGGAAACUGGGUCUAAUACCGAAUAUGACCAUGCGCCUCNUNNNGUGUGGUGGAAAGCUUUUGCGGUGUGGGAUGGGCCCGCGGCCUAUCAGCUUGUUGGUGGGGUAAUGGCCUACCAAGGCGACGACGGGUAGCCGGCCUGAGAGGGUGACCGGCCACACUGGGACUGAGAUACGGCCCAGACUCCUACGGGAGGCAGCAGUGGGGAAUAUUGCACAAUGGGCGCAAGCCUGAUGCAGCGACGCCGCGUGAGGGAUGACGGCCUUCGGGUUGUAAACCUCUUUCAGCACAGACGAAGCGCAAGUGACGGUAUGUGCAGAAGAAGGACCGGCCAACUACGUGCCAGCAGCCGCGGUAAUACGUAGGGUCCGAGCGUUGUCCGGAAUUACUGGGCGUAAAGAGCUCGUAGGUGGUUUGUCGCGUUGUUCGUGAAAACUCACAGCUUAACUGUGGGCGUGCGGGCGAUACGGGCAGACUUGAGUACUGCAGGGGAGACUGGAAUUCCUGGUGUAGCGGUGGAAUGCGCAGAUAUCAGGAGGAACACCGGUGGCGAAGGCGGGUCUCUGGGCAGUAACUGACGCUGAGGAGCGAAAGCGUGGGGAGCGAACAGGAUUAGAUACCCUGGUAGUCCACGCCGUAAACGGUGGGUACUAGGUGUGGGUUUCCUUCCUUGGGAUCCGUGCCGUAGCUAACGCAUUAAGUACCCCGCCUGGGGAGUACGGCCGCAAGGCUAAAACUCAAAGAAAUUGACGGGGGCCCGCACAAGCGGC
rnacentral:rRNA from 1 species